UACAGAGGGUGCGAGCGUUAAUCGGAAUUACUGGGCGUAAAGCGCACGUAGGCGGCUUGGUAUGUCGGGUGUGAAAUCCCCGGGCUCAACCUGGGAACUGCAUCCGAAACUGCCUUGCUCGAGUACGGGAGAGGGAAGUGGAAUUUCCGGUGUAGCGGUGAAAUGCGUAGAUAUCGGAAGGAACAUCAGUGGCGAAGGCGACUUCCUGGACCAAUACUGACGCUCAGGUGCGAAAGCGUGGGGAGCAAACAGG
rnacentral:rRNA from 1 species